CCUGCAUUCUAUAGUUGUAUUCUUUCUGCAGCGUUGUAUUUGGAAUGGAUAAUCCUAGAACCAAAAUAUUUCUUGUGAAUACCUAGAUGUGCACGCAACAGUCGCCUUUUCUAUGAUUGAUUACAUCUCUAUUUCAGUCUUUCUUCAUUUACUUCAUCUCUCUCAUUUUCAGCUUUUCAUUUGAUUUUCAGAUUUCUCCAUUUGCUCUUUAUUUUUAGCCUCUUCUGUUCCCGUGAUGGCGCAACUUGAGUGGAGGUGACAAAGAAAAAAUGUUAAAGUUGCAAAGGCAGAACAACAAGCAGGGCAAAUCAGGUGCAAUGGUUGAUUUCAGAUUCUUCUAUUUUCAAGCUCAUCAGAUUUCUAACUGAUAAUGGAAGCAACAACUUGACACCAUGAUUGUUAUCAAGCUCAUAAACAAUAGUAAUUCUGGAAUUGGAAGGAUGAUCAUACAAGCUAUGGGUGACUGAUGAUGCCUGAGAUCAAUUAGGUGACCUUGAGUUAUAUCAAAUUAUCUAAUGGAUAAAGUCAGACUAUAGGCUCAUAUGAGCCCAUGCAAUAUUGCAAUAAGACUAAACUCUACUUUGGAAUUCCUUUAGUGUGUGACUUUUCCCUCUUGAUGUUGAUUCCCUUCAUGAGGUAUUAUGUGUGAUUGUUUGAGGACCAUGA